CUCCCUGGGGGGGAUGAAAGAAUCAUUGGAGAAGGAAAAUGUACUCUGAAAGCGUCCACAUGAGAAGAAGGAGAAGGAAAAACAAAACACAGGAGUGGUCAAGUUAAAACAGGGGUUACAUCCUCAUUUUUUCUGCCAGCUGAGUAAAUGAUUUAUCUCCUUCUGACAUGACGGGGAGCAGGACUUCACUCUUCUUUUGCUUUAAAAAAAAAGAACAGCUUGAAUUGUAAGGAGUUAAUAAAAGUAUCCAAACAUUUGCUUUUUUUUUUUUUAUUUUUCUUCAAAGAAUAAUGCAUAGACAUGACAAUCUCUGUAUCACCCGUGUGUAUUCAUUACUGUAAAGGCAUCUACUACCUUACUCGGACAUCGGUGUCUCUGUAGAUUUAUCAUUUUUCUUCUACUGGACAGAACAUGAAUUGCUCAGUCAGGUGUCGCAAUCCAUGCAGUUCUUAUAAAAGAAAUACCUCUCCCAUAACAUGAUUCUUCCAUAAUUAAAGAUUGCGCUUUUCCAAAAGUACAGUCAAAAAGCUGCCUGGAUCCACCGCUUCGUAGAAAUGCUGGUUAUGCCUGGGCAGACUGACGGGUGCCAACAACCCCAAAGUCCAAAGGGUUCUUACUGAAUUCUGCACAUUUUCAAAUAAUUAUGGUUUGUCUGCAACACGCUUCAUUUGCAUUUAAAAAAUGCCUUUUUUCCCAACAAGAUUUUUUAAGAAUUACCUAUAAACAACUCUAAGUGACCUCACCAACACAGAUAACCUCUGGAUUUACCUUUAACUUACCAAACAAUCCCAGCAGUACCAUAAAGCAUCUGCGCAUGAACCCAAAAAUAUAUGAGCCCAUGAUGUAACCCGGAGCUUGCAAACUUUGACUGUUAGUGUCGCCAGAGGCAAAGGGAAUUUCUGUCUCGCCAAGGGCUGAAGGACUAGAAAAGGCACCUGAGGGAUUUUGCAUGCAGUCAGCUUUCCGCUGGGAAACGUAAAUUUGAAGACGAAGACUGGGGAUGUAAUUUCUCGGAACAGCAUGAAAUGAAUACAUACAAGAGAGGAGGAUGUUGCCCAACUGGUUUACGUUUUGCUGCUGGUUUUAAGAGAGCCAGAAUUUUACCUGAUGUGACUGCAGGACUUCUGUUUUUCCCUUCAGCUAAGGACAUGAAUCCCCCGGGAUGGGCCUAUGCCAACAUAGCUCAAACAAUUAUUUGAGAUUUACACAUCCCGCUGUGAAAACAGGCACAAAUCUUUAUUGUAUAGCAGCGCUGACUACUCACGCACAAUGUUUUUUCCCUUUUAAAAAAGCUCUCAAAUCCAGGAUGGUUCUGGGGAUAAAGCAAGAAUUUUCUUCAAAGCUACUUUUGUAAGGAAUUAUUUUCUUUGCCUUUUUGUGUAAUUUUACAAGUUCUGCCAAAAAAAAAAAGGCAAAAAAAAUGAAAAGAAAGCUCAGUGUUGCAAGGUUUGCAGCAGCCUGGUGCUGCCACUGAGGGCCUCAUCCACACCCCAGGGGAGUUAAUAAAAAACUAUUGGAUCAAUCCUUUAAGCACUUGCUUAAUUUUAAACCUGUGGCUAGCGGCAAGGAAGCUCCGAGUCCCUCAACGCUUUGUUUCUGUCGCUGGCCUGUCCUCCCUUAGGCUGGUGGGGCAGAGGAGACUCACACUGAUGGAGAAGGAUCAGGCUGCUCCCGGUUUCCAGCAGGCAAGAGCUAAAAAUCAUAUUACUACUGCUUAUUUACUGGGUCAGCAGAUUUCUGGGCAAAAAUUACUUUCUUCAGCAGGGAGAAGCGACCACUGGUCAACAACUUCUAUGCUGAGAAACUGAUCCUGCAGUUUUUUAUUUAGCCAAGCUGAGCCCUAAGAUAUUAUCUGAUCAUAUUCUCUUCUGGUUUUUACUCUUCUAAGUUCAAACUGCUGCACCCUGCAAGUUGUGUCAUAACAUCGCUCUCCUACCAGCUCUCCGUCCUGUGUUCAGGAAUCACAAGCCAGGUCUCUCUGAAAGCCUUAAACUCCGGAACAGCCCGGCGGAUGUUUACUCAGAACAGAACUGCUGGUUUAUGCAUUAGCUUUCUGAUGUCCAUAGAUUUCUAAGCUGGCACGUAAGUCGCUAAAACACAAGCACAGCACAUCCCGGAAAGGACUGAUUUACAGCACCAGAGAGAAAACUAUUACAGCAAUUCGAGCGUUUCCCAGUCUCCGUGGCAGUAGAUACUGGCCGUUGCUGGAGGCAGAGUUCUGGAGGAGACGAACUGCUUGCCCUGUUAAUUCCUUUAAAAACAGGAAGAAAAUAUCUGUAAUCAAGCUCUAGUGAAUACUAGUAGAAAUACUUCGCUUCUAUAUUAAACCCCAGAAGAGAAAUGCGUUUGAUGUCUAUUUUUAUGACGACAUUCCUAUUUUUCCAGCUUUUUGGCAGCUGGGGAUAUAAUAUCUGCAAUACAUUAAUGAUCCCGAUUCAAAGAUUAGUGAUGUCAGCAGAAGGACUGUUAUUCAUUUCAAGGGGCUUUGAACCACGCUCUCGCAACACUUCAGAGCCGUCACUAGUCAUUAGAACACAUCUUUCUUAUUCUUUAAAAACAUUAUCUCCGAUGUAUUUUAAGCUACUACAGUACGACAGUCACUCUUAUUUCUGUUAAAGGAAAAGGCUCUUUUGUUAGGUUUUCAUAGACAGGACUGAAUUAUGUGAUGACUAUUUAAUUUCUGACUUAUUUACACUGUGAUCAGAAAAGUAAAAUGUAAACCUCUCCAGAAGGCUGAAUAAUUAAACUAUUGCAAGACACACACACACCCCCCAAUCUUCUCAGAACUUUAUUAUGUUGGUUUAAAAUAAUCAGAAAUUGAAUUUAAAGGUGGAUCAAAAACAUGCAUAAGGACUUCAAACAUGUUAUUUAAAAAAGACAUUUCUAUAAGCUUGGUUUCUCCUGGCUCUGUGUCUCGCAGUUUGAAAAAGUAUAAACUCUGAGUCAAACUUUCCCUGACGAUUGGGGUAUUCAGACUGUGAAUAGCUCCUGACGCAAUAAUGUGAACAAUUCCACAACGCCAGGCAAAUGUUCUGGUUUCAGAUGCCAAGUUGUGCAUACACUACAGACAUACUGGCAUGCUGCCUCUCUUCUACUUAUUGGCCCAAAAUUCACAGGAAAUGAAGAACUUUUUAAGACCUCUGUCCCUUCGUCUAUCUAAAAGAGAUCAGCUGGUUCAAAGGUUUUGGUGAGCAACAAAAACAUCGACAUCGGCAUGUAAGGAGUUACUUCAUUCCUUAGAAAAGCAACAUAAAAAUGAGGCCGCAGUGGCCAGUGAUUAUUGGAAAACCCAGUUUGUAAGCUUUUGCAACGCCUGUGUUCCUUGCUUUGCUCAGACUGCCGCAGGUCUAGCAGAUACCCUCCCUGAAGCUAAUGAG